ACGCCAGGGUAUUACGAGCUGAAGCUUAAAACCCAAAGGACUUGACGGUGUCCCACCCACCUAGAGGAGCCUGUUCUAUAAUCGACACCCCCCGCUUCACCUCACCAUUUUUAGCCUGUCAGUCUGUAUACCUCCGUCGUAAGCUUACCAUGUGAACGAAUAUAGUAAGCCUAAUGGCCCAACCACCAACACGUCAGGUCAAGGUGCAACUUAUAAAAUGGGAAGUAAUGGGCUACAAUUUCUAACAUAGAACAAACGAAAAACUGCAUGAAACACAGUUAUGAAGGCGGAUUUAGCAGUAAAAAGAAAACAGCGUGUUCUUUUUAACUAGGCACUGGGACGUGU
rnacentral:rRNA from 1 species